AAAGUCGUAACAAGGUUUCCGUAGGUGAACCUGCGGAAGGAUCAUUACUGUACCCACAGGGGUGGGCUUUCGGGCCUGCCUCCUGUCUACCACCCAUGCUUUUUGCGUACCCACUGUUUCCUCGGCAGGCUUGCCUGCCAGUAGGACCCUUUUUUGAACCUUUUGCAGUUGCAGUCAGCGUCAGAAACAACGUAAUCGUUACAACUUUCAACAACGGAUCUCUUGGUUCUG
rnacentral:misc_RNA from 1 species